rnacentral:rRNA from 1 species
AGAGUUUGAUCCUGGCUCAGAACGAACGCUGGCGGCAUGCCUAACACAUGCAAGUCGAACGAGACCUUCGGGUCUAGUGGCGCACGGGUGCGUAACGCGUGGGAAUCUGCCCUGGGGUGCGGAAUAACUCGGAGAAAUCCGUGCUAAUACCGCAUAAUGUCUUCGGACCAAAGAUUUAUCGCCCUGGGAUGAGCCCGCGUAGGAUUAGCUAGUUGGUGGGGUAAAGGCCUACCAAGGCGACGAUCCUUAGCUGGUCUGAGAGGAUGAUCAGCCACACUGGGACUGAGACACGGCCCAGACUCCUACGGGAGGCAGCAGUGGGGAAUAUUGGACAAUGGGCGAAAGCCUGAUCCAGCAAUGCCGCGUGAGUGAUGAAGGCCCUAGGGUUGUAAAGCUCUUUACCCGGGAUGAUAAUGACAGUACCGGGAGAAUAAGCUCCGGCUAACUCCGUG